UGCAAAUUUUCUUUUCACUGGAUUUUUAUUUUGUUUUUCUCCUUUUUCAAAUCAUUUAAACGCGCAAGCCCUCACCCAUUUCCUCUGUGAUCCAAAUGGGUAAAAGCGCGCAUGUUGUGUUAACAUCGUGUCCUCUGUCUUCUUACCAACUCGUUAUUUAAAACGUUGGAUGGUAUUUUCAUGUUUUGUUUUGCUUAUUGAAAACCAUCGCUCUCUCUCUCUUUUUAAUCAUGACUUUUUCUUCUUGUCUAAAUCAACACCUGUUUGUAGAAUUUCCCUUGACGGGGGGGGGCGAAGUUUUAAAAGUUGUGGCUUUCACUCUGUGGACGUGUUUCCACUGGUGGCACCCCCCCCCCCCCCCCCACACACACACAACCCCCUGUGGCGCAGUGGGCCGCUUCAUGUGUGCUGUGGGCCGUGUGUUUGCCACGGUGCCAUACGGAUUGCACUAUAAAAUUCAUUUAAAGCUUAAUAACUACCCUCUCUUUAUUUGUCCUCUGCAUUUUGCAGUUGGAAACAACUGGCAAUGGCAUCGGAGGACGUUAUUACAGAACCCCACAGCAGCUUAUUGAACUGUGAAGACGGUUUACUUAUUACAUACUGUUUAGCAGAAAAGAGGAGCACUUUAUUAGCCCUUGAAUGGACUGACGGGGUAAAUGAUGAAUAACGUGGCUGAGCAUUUUCAGCUGGAGUUGCAGUCACUGAUCUGAGAAAGUAACCAAAUUGACAGGAGCCUAAUUAGUAGCUUUACACAUUAGCUUCCAAUAGUUUGGAAGAGGUCAAAGUUCUUAUUUAUGUUAAAUAUUCUCAUUUUACAUAUAGUGGACCUAAAAAGUAUGUGUUUUUUGUUUUUUUACUAUAUUUUGUGGCCAUUACUUAAUUUCCCACAGGCUGGAGGAUAAAAAGUAAAGCUCUAAGCUGUAGUGUCAUGUGCCAGUGACGCAACAAGCAUCUCGGAGGGGCUGCUGGUGGUGCCAACGGGAGAUGAGGUUGAUAAAAUACUCCGGUCAGAGACUGAUAGCUGUGUUUUUGUUCUCUGGUAUGGGUCACAAUCCUAAAAAUGCUAAUGCAAUUGAGAAAAAGAGAAGCACAAAGCAGAAUUCUCCCAGAGCUUUGACCAGUUGUAGCUGAUUCUAACUUUUCCUAAAGAGCAAAAGCAGCUGUAAUAGAAGUCGGUGUAAAAUAAGAAUGUACUUACUAUUUUAGAACCAAAACAUGCUUGUUGAGGUACCAUUUUUAGCUGCCUUUAGUCCAAUUAAUGAUUGUCACACAUAGCAAUGCAAACACUACUAUAGCAGCAGUUUCAAUGUAUAGUCCCUGGAGAGGGCAGACCCUAAUUUUACUUUUGAGAUUUUCAAAACGCCACGUACAAAUCCCAAACACUCCUGACAGAUAAAGGUCGAAAGCUCGAGAGGAUAAAAUGGAGUAACUUUGCCGUAAUACAUUUAGCCUUCCUGUUAUCUGCUGAGAGUCUCACCCUCCGUGGCUGUCUCUCAGCCUCAGUGCACCACAGUCAUGUAGAGAACGGUUUCAAAUACCUUACGCUCAGUUACAACUGGAAGUACUUAAUCACUAAAAGGUAUGGUAUGAAACUGAAAAAGCUGGAAAAUUAUUCCGUUUCCAGCUGAUUUCUCAGUACAUCACUUUUUUUUUUUUUUUAACAAUUCUGUACACUUCCUAUUUUACAGCAGUGUUUCAGACCAAGCAUAAAAGAAGAUUACGGUCCUCAGCUUAUUUGUACAAGGAGUCAUCGAUGCUUCCAAAGUAACAUUUCUAUUUAAUUUGUGCUUAAGUUGGGUUCAUAGCUCGUGACCCAGACACCGUCUGACCAGAAGGCAGAACCUCGGCUAUCUGUAAUCUAAAACUGGUUUUGACAGGUGGAAGCAGGUCUAAUCUCUGGCUUCAGCAACACAUUGCAUCAGGCUGUUGCUAAUUGGAUUCCAAAAGGGAAAAAAGAAAAAAAAAAAGCCGUCCAGGCGAACUCUUGUCAGGAACACCUCAGUUUUAGCAUCGAUUAGCUCCUGAUAAUUCUAUCGUGAACAAUUAUUGUUUUGAAGCAUCGUCCGUCUCGAAGCUUCAUGCAUUUGUACACACAGUUCUGAUCAGAAAGGUUGAGAGUUGCUUAACAAAAGGCGAGUUGUCUCCAUUCACUUCUUCCAAAGAUAACAAACGAAGUGAAAUAGAUUAAAUGACGGAAAAAGAGAUCAACACGGGACUCGGCCGCCUCCUGCAUCCAGCUGUUCUGUUCCUCUGUUUCCUGAGGAGCCGCCUCAUUAGGAUCGGAUUUUUAGUCCGGUCCUCAACAGUGAUGCCAUGGAAACGUUUCAGCGGUUUGAGGAGACGCUCAUAACUGAAUGAGUGUUUUGCUUCAAAUCGUCCGAAGCAAUACUUGGUGAUACAUUUAAAUGAGGGCAACGCAAUAUGUCAAAUGGGACUUUUUCUCUUUUUUUGCAAUGUUAAUGUGAUUUUGUAUUUUAAGUGUCUUUUGUACAAACUCUGCACGCAGACGACGCUUCUAACCCUGUUGGAUUGAAUCUCACAGGCCUUGAUUCCCAAAUUUGAUGCAUAUUUUUUUGUGGCUGAGAUGCUAAAGCUCCCAUAGAAUGGUGGGAGCGUUGCGAUAAAACAAAAGAAAGGAGGGGAAAAAGUCCGAUAAGGUUGAUUUGCUGUAAUCAGCCUUGUUGUUGCGUCCGUUAGGGUUGCUUUGAAUAGGAAAUCAAGUUUAUUUUUGCUAUCAACCUAGAAGAAAUUUAGUGCCGUUUUUCACCCUGGUAAUUGUCAGUGUGUGGCAACGCAGCCCUGCAGUUUGUGAAACCGCAUCUUUAAUUCGUUUCACUAACAACAGUAACUGGCCUAGUUCCAAUAUUAGCAUUACUUAUGAGCAUAGCCAGUGUUUUGGUCUAAACAAUUCAUUAUAUGGAUGAACCUUUGUAUUAUUUUUAUAUUUGUGUGUCGGAGGAUAACAUAUUGCAACUUUACUUUAUGACAACCAAUUUGGCGUAAUGACACACCGGGCAGCAAAGACUUAAAAUGACUUUGGUGCAUUUGACUGACGCAGAGAGUCGUCUAUCAGACCCUAGCUGCAAAUUAAAAGGGCCAGGGUUGUAGAGCUGGGUGAGGAUAAUUAACUGGAAACUGUGAAUCAUUGUCCACUGACAUCAUGGUCACAGCAACUGCCAUCUGAAAAGCAUACCCCCCCAAGUACUUAAGUAAACCUCGCACUCGGCCCGACCAAUGAAAUGCCAGCAUUUACAACUCCCCCCAGGCUUGAGAAUGGGCAGGCAACGUUGAGAAGUGGAAGCGGGGCACCCCCCCCUUACUUCCUUCUCUGUACCUCGGACUCAUUUACGAGGCAUUUGCGAUGUACUUGACUCGUGUUUCCAGAGUCACUAAAUCUGAUCUAAUUGAAAUCAUGCAGCUUGCUCGGCGGAGAUCGGGGAUUGUGUUUCAGCGGAGGGGAAAUCCCCAGCAGGUCCGUAAAGGCGUGAUGUCAUUCGUGUGGGAAUGAAGGAGAAACGGACCUUGUAGGUGUGAAGCAUCUACAUCUGAAGAUGUUUGCUAGGUGAAUCUCGGGGGGGAUCAUCACAACAUCUGGAAAGAGAACGGGUUCCCUUUCAACAAUCACCAGACCCUCCGCUUUGAAUUCCAGAUACACUGUAAGAGGUGAAGUGUAGGACAGGGUCGUGAAAUGCUUCCUUUCGCCUCAGCUCGGGUCAUCCUUCUCAAGAAAACUUGGUCUCGGCCCAAGGGAGGCGUAACUUUUGAGUUGCUGAAAGCAUGUCUAAAGGAUGGGACAGAUACUCAUGUGUUUUCCAUCUCAUCAUGUGCUGCUACUAUGGAUUAGUGACGCAUGUUGCUCAUGAGGAGAGACAGUGCAACACCUCUGAUUUACCAAAAUGAAGCAAACUGGGAUUAUGCCAAAACAGUGAGGGGAAAAAGAAA